rnacentral:rRNA from 1 species
ACACGUCUACAUUAGACUACCCCGGUAGUCCCAGCCGUAAACUAUGCGCGUUAGGUGUAUCGGUGACCACGAGUUACCGAGGUGCCGAAGGGAAACCGUGAAACGUGCCGCCGUGGGAAGUACGGUCGCAAGGCUGAAACUUAAAGGAAUUGGCGGGGAGCACCACAACAGGUGGAGCCUGCGGUUUAAUUGGACUCAACGCCGGGAAGCUCACCGGAUAGGACAGCAGAAUGAUUGCCGGGCUGAAGACCCUGCAUGACUAGCUG